ACAGCAGUAGCCGCGGUAAUACGAGGGGUGCAAGCGUUAUUCGGAUUGGUUGGGUGUAAAGGGUGUGCAGACGGCUUAUUAAGUCACUUGUUAAAUUCUUCGGCCUAACUGAAGGUCUGCAAGUGAUACUGAUGAGCUAGAGGGUGGAAGAGAGAAGUGGAAUUCUCGGAGUAGCGGUAAAAUGCGUAGAUCUCGAGAGGAACACCAAUGGCGAAGGCAGCUUCUUGGUCCAUUCCUGACGUUCAUACACGAAAGCGUGGGGAGCAAACAGGAUUAGAUACCCCCGUAGUCCCUGUCUCUUAUAC
rnacentral:rRNA from 1 species